rnacentral:rRNA from 1 species
CCAGUACUCAUAUGCUUGUCUCAAAGAUUAAGCCAUGCAUGUCUAAGUUCACACCCUCGUACGGUGAAACCGCGAAUGGCUCAUUAAAUCAGUCGAGGUUCCUUAGAUGAUCCAUUUCUACUUGGAUAACUGUGGUAAUUCUAGAGCUAAUACAUGCCCAACAGCUCCGACCCCGGGCUUCGCGGUUCGGGGAAAGAGCGCUUUUAUUAGUUCAAAACCAGUCGGGGGUUUCGGCCCUCGUGCUUUGGUGACUCUGGAUAACUUUGAGCCGAUCGCAUGGCCUCGAGCCGGCGACGCAUCUUUCAAAUGUCUGCCCUAUCAAAUGACGACAGUACGUGAUCUGCCUACCGUGUUGACUACGGGUAGCGGGGAAUCAGGGUUCGAUUCCGGAGAGGGAGCAUGAGA